GACAGAGGUGCCGAGCGUUGUUCGGAAUCACUGGGCGUAAAGGGCGUGUAGGCGGUCAAGUAAGUGGAAUGUGAAACGCCUCGGCUUACCCGAGGACCUGCAUCCUAAACUGCUUGGCUUGAGUAUGGGAGAGGAUGAGGGAAUUCCUGGUGUAGCGGUGAAAUGCGUAGAUAUCAGGAGGAACACCGGUGGCGAAAGCGCUCAUCUGGCCCAAUACUGACGCUGAGGCGCGAAAGCUAGGGGAGCGAACAGG
rnacentral:rRNA from 1 species